rnacentral:rRNA from 1 species
UACGGAGGGUGCAAGCGUUAUCCGGAAUCACUGGGUUUAAAGGGUGCGUAGGCGGUGGCGUAAGUCAGUUGUGAAAUUCCCCGGCUUAACCGGCGGGACUGCGAUUGAUACUGCGUUACUUGAAUCAGGUUGAGGUAGGCGGAAUGUGACAUGUAGCGGUGAAAUGCUUAGAUAUGUCAUAGAACACCGAUUGCGAAGGCAGCUUGCUGGACCUGUAUUGACGCUGAGGCACGAAAGCGUGGGGAGCGAACAGG